UGAGGAAUAUUGGGCAAUGGGGGCAACCCUGACCCAGCAAUGCCGCGUGCGGGAUGAAGGCCUUCGGGUUGUAAACCGCUUUUCUGGGGGAGCAGACAAGGAGCGUACCUCAGGAAUAAGUCACGGCUAACUACGUGCCAGCAGCCGCGGUAAUACGUAGGUGGCGAACGUUAUCCGGAAUAACUGGGCGUAAAGGGUCCGUAGGCGGCUAAGCAGGUCUGGCGUGAAAGCCCUCGGCUAAACUGAGGGAGUGCGUUGGAAACCGCGUAGCUAGCAUCACGCAGGGGCUGGUGGAAUUCCCGGUGUAGUGGUGGAAUGCGUAGAGAUCGGGAGGAACCUCUAGAGCGAAGGCAACCGGCUAGGCGAUGAUGGACGCUGAGGGACGAAAGCGUGGGGAGCGAACA
rnacentral:rRNA from 1 species